GUAUCCUGUCUGAAUAUGGGGGGACCAUCCUCCAAGGCUAAAUACUCCUGACUGACCGAUAGUGAACCAGUACCGUGAGGGAAAGGCGAAAAGAACCCCGGCGAGGGGAGUGAAAAAGAACCUGAAACCGUGUACGUACAAGCAGUGGGAGCACAGAGCAAUCUGUGUGACUGCGUACCUUUUGUAUAAUGGGUCAGCGACUUAUAUUCUGUAGCAAGGUUAACCGAAUAGGGGAGCCGAAGGGAAACCGAGUCUUAACCGGGCGUUAAGUUGCAGGGUAUAGACCCGAAACCCGGUGAUCUAGCCAUGGGCAGGUUGAAGGUUGGGUAACACUAACUGGAGGACCGAACCGACUAAUGUUGAAAAAUUAGCGGAUGACUUGUGGCUGGGGGUGAAAGGCCAAUCAAACCGGGAGAUAGCUGGUUCUCCCCGAAAGCUAUUUAGGUAGCGCCUCGUGAAUUCAUCUCCGGGGGUAGAGCACUGUUUCGGCAAGGGGGUCAUCCCGACUUACCAACCCGAUGCAAACUGCGAAUACCGGAGAAUGUUAUCACGGGAGACACACGGCGGGUGCUAACGUCCGUCGUGAAGAGGGAAACAACCCAGACCGCCAGCUAAGGUCCCAAAGUCAUGGUUAAGUGGGAAACGAUGUGGGAAGGCCCAGACAGCCAGGAUGUUGGCUUAGAAGCAGCCAUCAUUUAAAGAAAGCGUAAUAGCUCACUGGUCGAGUCGGCCUGCGCGGAAGAUGUAACGGGGCUAAACCAUGCACCGAAGCUGCGGCAGCGACACUGUGUGUUGUUGGGUAGGGGAGCGUUCUGUAAGCCUGUGAAGGUGUGCUGUGAGGCAUGCUGGAGGUAUCAGAAGUGCGAAUGCUGACAUAAGUAACGAUAAAGCGGGUGAAAAGCCCGCUCGCCGGAAGACCAAGGGUUCCUGUCCAACGUUAAUCGGGGCAGGGUGAGUCGACCCCUAAGGCGAGGCCGAAAGGCGUAGUCGAUGGGAAACAGGUUAAUAUUCCUGUACUUGGUGUUACUGCGAAGGGGGGACGGAGAAGGCUAUGUUGGCCGGGCGACGGUUGUCCCGGUUUAAGCGUGUAGGCUGGUUUUCCAGGCAAAUCCGGAAAAUCAAGGCUGAGGCGUGAUGACGAGGCACUACGGUGCUGAAGCAACAAAUGCCCUGCUUCCAGGAAAAGCCUCUAAGCAUCAGGUAACAUCAAAUCGUACCCCAAACCGACACAGGUGGUCAGGUAGAGAAUACCAAGGCGCUUGAGAGAACUCGGGUGAAGGAACUAGGCAAAAUGGUGCCGUAACUUCGGGAGAAGGCACGCUGAUAUGUAGGUGAAGUCCCUCGCGGAUGGAGCUGAAAUCAGUCGAAGAUACCAGCUGGCUGCAACUGUUUAUUAAAAACACAGCACUGUGCAAACACGAAAGUGGACGUAUACGGUGUGACGCCUGCCCGGUGCCGGAAGGUUAAUUGAUGGGGUCAGCGCAAGCGAAGCUCUUGAUCGAAGCCCCGGUAAACGGCGGCCGUAACUAUAACGGUCCUAAGGUAGCGAAAUUCCUUGUCGGGUAAGUUCCGACCUGCACGAAUGGCGUAAUGAUGGCCAGGCUGUCUCCACCCGAGACUCAGUGAAAUUGAACUCGCUGUGAAGAUGCAGUGUACCCGCGGCAAGACGGAAAGACCCCGUGAACCUUUACUAUAGCUUGACACUGAACAUUGAGCCUUGAUGUGUAGGAUAGGUGGGAGGCUUUGAAGUGUGGACGCCAGUCUGCAUGGAGCCGACCUUGAAAUACCACCCUUUAAUGUUUGAUGUUCUAACGUGGACCCGUGAUCCGGGUUGCGGACAGUGUCUGGUGGGUAGUUUGACUGGGGCGGUCUCCUCCUAAAGAGUAACGGAGGAGCACGAAGGUUGGCUAAUCCUGGUCGGACAUCAGGAGGUUAGUGCAAUGGCAUAAGCCAGCUUGACUGCGAGCGUGACGGCGCGAGCAGGUGCGAAAGCAGGUCAUAGUGAUCCGGUGGUUCUGAAUGGAAGGGCCAUCGCUCAACGGAUAAAAGGUACUCCGGGGAUAACAGGCUGAUACCGCCCAAGAGUUCAUAUCGACGGCGGUGUUUGGCACCUCGAUGUCGGCUCAUCACAUCCUGGGGCUGAAGUAGGUCCCAAGGGUAUGGCUGUUCGCCAUUUAAAGUGGUACGCGAGCUGGGUUUAGAACGUCGUGAGACAGUUCGGUCCCUAUCUGCCGUGGGCGCUGGAGAACUGAGGGGGGCUGCUCCUAGUACGAGAGGACCGGAGUGGACGCAUCACUGGUGUUCGGGUUGUCAUGCCAAUGGCACUGCCCGGUAGCUAAAUGCGGAAGAGAUAAGUGCUGAAAGCAUCUAAGCACGAAACUUGCCCCGAGAUGAGUUCUCCCUGACCCUUUAAGGGUCCUGAAGGAACGUUGAAGACGACGACGUUGAUAGGCCGGGUGUGUAAGCGCAGCGAUGCGUUGAGCUAACCGGUACUAAUGAACCGUGAGGCUUAACCUUACAACGCCGAAGGUGUUU
rnacentral:rRNA from 1 species